GACGAACGCUGGCGGCGUGCUUAACACAUGCAAGUCGAACGGAAAGGCCCUGCUUUUGUGGGGUGCUCGAGUGGCGAACGGGUGAGUAACACGUGAGUAACCUGCCCUUGACUUUGGGAUAACUUCAGGAAACUGGGGCUAAUACCGGGUAGGAGCUCCUGCUGCAUGGUGGGGGUUGGAAAGUCUCGGCGGUUGGGGAUGGACUCGCGGCUUAUCAGCUUGUUGGUGGGGUAGUGGCUUACCAAGGCUUUGACGGGUAGCCGGCCUGAGAGGGUGACCGGCCACAUUGGGACUGAGAUACGGCCCAGACUCCUACGGGAGGCAGCAGUGGGGAAUAUUGCACAAUGGGCGGAAGCCUGAUGCAGCAACGCCGCGUGCGGGAUGACGGCCUUCGGGUUGUAAACCGCUUUCGCCUGUGACGAAGCGUGAGUGACGGUAAUGGGUAAAGAAGCACCGGCUAACUACGUG
rnacentral:rRNA from 1 species